rnacentral:piRNA from 1 species
AACUUCGACAGAAGCUUUCCCCUCAGGCC